UUGGAGAUGAUCUAAGGAAUCUAGAAUGGACUGCUUCUCGUAUGAGGUGAGGGAAAAAAAUCUGAAAUAGCUGAAUGCACAUGUUUCUUCCAUAUAUUGGAACUGUUCUUGGUGUCUGGGGUUGGCUUUGGACGGCUGUGGGAGGAAGUAUGGUAUUUUUUCAAUUUUUUUUUCAAUUUUUCAAUUUAUAUUAUUCUACUUUAUUAAUAUGUUAGUUCAUAUGGACGAUUCUGACCCUCAAAAUGACAGCCAUAUUGAUAGAAGGUAACAGAAUGACUUAAUUGGAAUAGAUGAGAGAGUUGGAUGACCUAUUUGCUUAAAAAAAAGUUCCGGGACUCAAUUAAAAUUGUUAAACUUUAGGGACCUCUUAAUAGAUUCAUAUUUUGCAUAUAUAAUCUAUCUCUAUUUGCAUUGUUUUCAUGGAAAAUUGGUUAGUUUAAUGUGCUUAAUGAGGAUUUUGUAGGAAAUUAUUCAUAGCAAGGGUGUGGAGCUAAAAUUAUGAUUUUAGAAGCUUAAGGGAUCAAAAUGAGUGGAAUUAUCAACUUAACGAAAUCUCAAGAACUCACUGUAUCAUUUCAUCGAACACCUGGAGUGCAUAUAUGCAAGUGUCAAUUUAUACUCACAACUGGUCUCAGUGACCAGCGCAAAAAAUAUAGAGUUAGAGAAAUUUACAAUUAUUUUGGAGCCGAAAUCGUGCGAAGACCCAUUUCGCGCUUAUUGAGAAGUUGUCGUCGAAUGAAGUGUUAGCAUUUGCUGAAGCAUUGGCUAGGCUUUAUUAAUCAUGUUGAGAUUCACUAUUACCAUGGCUAGGCUUUCUUUGCCCCGUCACUUUUUCUCUCAGCCGAUAAAAGAAGAGUAGCCUUAGACUUGUAAAAGAAUUAAAAGAGUCUCAGCCGCUCCUUUCUCCUUUUCCAAUUGGGACUUUCCCAUUAUUUCUAUUAUUUCCAUUAAUUUCCUAUUGUCC
rnacentral:lncRNA from 1 species